GGAUAUAGCUCAGCGGCACAGCACCUGCCUAGCAAGCAGGGGGCCCUGAGUUCAAUUCCUGGUACCA
rnacentral:tRNA from 1 species